UGCAGUCUGCCUUCUCUUUCAUCAGGAGGUUCACUCCAGUUGCCCAGGAGAGGCUGCUCUGGGGAUGCGCUGGAGCACAAGACAGGCAACUCUGGACAUCUCCCUGUCCUCCCACCUACUGGCUGGCAUCUGCCCUACAGCAUCUGCCUCUCGUUACUGGCAUCCUUCAGAAUGUUGUGGGAUCAUUAGCACUGUUUUCACUGCCAAUGGCCCUGUCUGAGAUUCCGUGGUUCAUACUCACAGGAAAGGCCAUCUGAAAAUUCACACAAGGCUGCAUGGCCUAGGGAGGGUGUGUGAGAGGGCAGGCUGACCAUACAGGGCAGCACAUUUAGUUUAAUUUUGUCUCCAAAGGAAUUUCACAGGCCACACACAAAGCUUAGCAUCCACCACCAUGUUCUUGGCUCAUGGUUUUCUGGGCACUGGUGUAGACGGGGCCUGGGGGAGAGGUUUUCCUGCAGCCUCGCCUGAGGGACCCAAGCUGCAGUCAGGGAGAAGGUGGGCCCCCACCUGGAAUAUAAGGUGCUUUUUUUUUUUUUUAACUUUCCUCUUCACCUAAAUAAGGCCCCAUGGUCCCAUGCAUGCCACCUUUCAGAACAUGCGUCCUGAGCAGAGGCCUUUGGGGCAUGUUCUUGAUGAAGGCCAGCCAGCCUUGGCCCUCUGGGGAAUGGGACACAGCUUCUUAUUGGCUGCAUCUUUGCUGCUUCCUUCCCCUUCCUUGUUCUUCUAGGUUCUAGUACUACCCCCUCCCCUGGGAACCAAGGCUGAGGACCUCAAGGCAGGACGCCAGGCUAGAUCUAGGAGCCUCCAGGAGGGUCACCUGCAGGCCAGCCUAGGUGUGAGCUCAGAGUGGGCCUAGUAAAGAGAUCCUGAGAAAGUACAUGGGUGCCUGACACAUCCACAGCCUGUGCUGUCAGAGCUCAAGUGAACACUGUAAAUAGAGGCUAGGGAGGAGAGACUGUCAGGUGUGUGAUUGGGAGGGACAGACAGACAGGGAGGGAGGAGGGACAGGGGAGAAGAGGAAGGGAAGGAAGGAGGUGGAUAAAGGGGGGACGAGCCUGUAUCCUCUCCUGGCAUCUGUAUUCCUUUUCACACCAGGUAACUCCACCAGAGCCUCCCAUCCAUCCUCCUUGAUGACUUCCCUUUUCCACCUACUGGCCAGCAACUGCAGGGCAGCACGUCCUCGGUUGACUCAUAUUCUCAACCCACAGACCUCUCCUGGUGGGUCCAGUAUGAAACUCGACAUUAUGAGUCAGGGGACUUGACCUGCCCCCCGCUUUCUUCUUGCAGCACCGUUACUGCCCACUCAGCCACCUGGCUGGACACAGACUGACCCACCCCAGCUAUGCAGACCUGAGUUCUCAGAUAUGGUCAGCAGCGUCUACACUUCCCAUAAACCUGUUGGAAAUUCAGAUUCUGGGCCCCACCAAGGCUGACUGGAUCAAACCCUGGGGGUGGGCAAGCCUGGCAUGCUGGCCUUUAGGGAACCACUGGCUUAGAGGCGAUAAGCCUCCAUAGAGACAAUCAAGGUCCUGACCACAAAGCUUUGUGCCCCCUUGGUUGUAUAGUUUGUACCAGUGGGUCUUUGCUUUCUGUUCAUCAGAAUGGGGUACGGGCCCCAAGGAGCCCCCACUCAGGAUAUAUACCUGCGCCUGCCAGGUCCAGUGUGCACGGGUGCUUACAUGCACUUUGCUGAAAUGAACUGCGGUCAUGGUAUUGAUCUGAGGAGCAGCUCAAGGUCAGAGAUGUCCUAAUGGGUGAGAAGAGUGGGGCCACUUUCCAGGCCCCUCCACUGAUGGAGAUGCUGCUGAUGGAAGGAGAUAGCAGCUGGCUCCCGUGCACCCAACGUCUUGGGUGCUCAGUGCAUUUCCUGCUACAGAUUCUGCUGAAUAAACCUGGCCUCGGACAUUUAUUUAAACCACAUAGUACAUUCUUUUUUAAAAACAUCAGGUGUGCUGUGCAGUCCGUCGCAGCCUGAGAGGACAUGAAAUGGCUCCGUGUGGCAGCAGCCCUCAGCCUGGGACACUGGCCCCUCACCCCCCAACACCUGGGAGCCUUCCUUGUGCCCAGCUCUGCAGAAAUGACCCAAGGCGUGGUUGCAAACAGAAGAUGGUUUAGAGGAAAUCUGUGAUUUAGCUGUAACUAGAAACUCUUGAUGUCGCUCAUCAUUUUUCCUAGGUCUACAUCAUGCCGGUACUUCCCUGGCAGUCUAGUGCACUAGACUCUGCACUACCAGGGCCCUGAGCGUGGGUGCCAUCCCUGAUGGGGACACUAAAAUCCCACAUGCAGCGGAGCACAGCUACACACAAGAAACAUCAUGCUAAUUUGUUUAGGGCCACGGCCCUGGCUGUGCUUCCGGUGGUGAGGCGACGCCUCUCUCCCUCAUCCAGUUUAGAGGCCCCAGGAAGUCACCUGACCCUCGGUGGCCAAUCAGAGGUUAGUGGUAACUGAUGACGUAGCUCGCGUGGGGCAGAGCUCCACCCCUUUUGUUCCGGCCCAAGGAUGUCUGAUUUGGAAGCCGGGAGACCUGGCUUAAGUUCACAGGGAGGUGGCGCCAAGACGAGGCCGCGGGGUCUGUGUGAAAAAGCAGUAGAACCCACUGAUGCAGAGGAAAGUGGAGAUUUGCUGAAAGGCCAAGAGACAGGAGCCAAGGGAGUGCUGGAAGCAGCAUCUCUUCAUCAGGAGGAGGGCACUUCCAGGUAAGAGGCCACAUCCCCACCCCUGACCUGACCAAGGCCUAAACUGGGAUGUCGAUGUUUCUACACUUAAUUUUGUUGUGAGUUUAAUUCUUGGCUGGUUCAGACGAUGUCUUGGGUUUGUUAUCUACACUUCACCUGCAACAAGCAAUCCUUAUCAAAAUAAUUCCACAGGUCUCCUGCCGGCUUAAUCUAUCUAAUCAUUCCUAUGUAUGUGUAACUCAUCAAGUCUCUAAAGAUGUGGUUUCUGUUUAUUUUGCUUUUCUUUUAUUGUGCAAUAAUCUGUACCCCAUAGCAAGGCAAGUUCGUGAAGACUGGAUGGGGAGAGAAUUUGCAACUAAUAUUCUUAAAAGAGAAAAAAAGAGAGUUCAUAAGUAUUAAUCAUGUCCACUAAAGAGACAGAAUGCAGAAAACGAUGACAAAUGACAGCUUGCAUCUUAAAUGAGUAACAGGCAGUUGAGUAAAAUUACUUUCUCACCAAUCCUUACUUACCAGCAAUGUUGUAAACCUAGUCUCAGGAAUUUCAAUGACAUUUCUCUCUAUUUUUGCUCCAGUGCAGUUGAUAAUGCAUUUUAAGAGAUGUUCUUGCCUAUAUGUAUGAUCCUCCAUUA